rnacentral:lncRNA from 1 species
GUCAGAGCGGCGUCGGGCCUGGCGGGAAAGUGGAAAACUAUCGGCGGUGGCCCAGGCUCGGUGGCUCACUCCUGGAAUCCCAGCACUUUGGGAGGCCAAGGUGGGGGGAUCACGAGGUCAGGGGAUCGAGACCAUCCUGGCUAACAGGUGAAACCCUGUCUCUACUAAAAAUACAAAAAAAUUAGCCAGGCGUGGUGGAGGCGCCUGUAGUCGCAGCUACUCGGGAGGCUGAGGCAGGAGAAUGGCGUGAACCCAGGAGGCGGAGCCUGCAGUGAGCCGAGAUUGCUGCACUGCACUCCAGCCUGGGCGACAGAGGAAGACUCCGUCUCAAAAAAAAAAAAAAAAAAAGAAAGAAAACUACAGGCGGGGACGGCUUCUCGAUUGGAGAGGACGAAGGCCCUGAGGUCCAAGAACAUUGAAACCUGACAGUGGAUGCCAAUGGCUGUGGGGAGGAGCUGGGCGAGGCGCCCAGGUUGUCGUCUGCCCGGCAACGUGGGAGCCUGCAGCACUUUCCUGCAAAGCUCUAUUUUAUCUUUUUAAAUAAAAAUGGUUACUGAUAAGUGA